ensembl:lncRNA
AUAGGCUCCAAUCGAAGCUGAAGUGAAGCCGUUUCAGAACAUUUUGCUCUACAUAUUUGAGUUGUUUGCCAUGCUUGGAUAUGCUUGUGAAGAUGGAAUAUGGGGGAGAGCAGAAGUGCGUUGAAGUUCCACAAAGGGAUGAAUGAAGGACAUGCAUAUUGUAUUGAAGAAAUAAGUGAUGAGAAAGCUGGUUUUUGCAUUUACCAUGUCAGACCUUUUGAUAAACAAAAUUCUAAUGAAAAAACCUAGGAUCACUGGACUAAAUGACUACAGACCCGUGGCUCUGACAUCUGUAGUCAUGAAGUCUUUUGAGCGCCUGGUUCUCUCCUAUCUCAAGACCCUCACGGCCCCCCUCCUGGACCCCCUGCAGUUUGCAUACAGAGCCAACAGGUCUGUAGAUGACGCCAUCAACAUGGCCCUACACUUCAUCCUGCAGCAUCUGGACUCCCCAGGAACCUACGCCAGGAUCCUGUUUGUGGACUUCAGCUCUGCCUUCAAUACCAUCCUUCCAGACCAUCUCCAAGGCAAGCUUUCCCAGAU